AUUGAACGCUGGCGGCAUGCCUUACACAUGCAAGUCGAACGGCAGCACGGGAGCAAUCCUGGUGGCGAGUGGCGAACGGGUGAGUAACAUAUCGGAACGUGCCCAGUAGUGGGGGAUAACCCGGCGAAAGCCGGACUAAUACCGCAUACGACCUACGGGUGAAAGCAGGGGAUCGCAAGACCUUGCGCUAUCGGAGCGGCCGAUAUCAGAUUAGCUUGUUGGUGGGGUAAAAGCCUACCAAGGCGACGAUCUGUAGCUGGUCUGAGAGGACGACCAGCCACACUGGGACUGAGACACGGCCCAGACUCCUACGGGAGGCAGCAGUGGGGAAUUUUGGACAAUGGGCGCAAGCCUGAUCCAGCCAUGCCGCGUGCGGGAAGAAGGCCUUCGGUGUAACGCUUUGUCAGGGAAGAAACGGCUCGGGCUAAUACCUCGGGCGUAAUGACGGUACCUGAGAAUAAGCACCGGCUAACUACGUGCCAGCAGCCGCG
rnacentral:rRNA from 1 species